rnacentral:rRNA from 1 species
UGGGGAAUCUUGCGCAAUGGGCGAAAGCCUGACGCAGCGACACCGCGUGGGGGACGAAGGCCUUUCAGGUCGUAAACCCCUUUCGGCAGGGACGAAGCGAUCUCGUGACGGUACCUGCAGAAGAAGCCUCGGCUAACUACGUGCCAGCAGCCGCGGUAACACGUAGGAGGCGAGCGUUGUCCGGAAUCAUUGGGCGUAAAGAGCGCGCAGGCGGCCCGGCAAGUCGGGUGUGAAAUCCCGGGGCUCAACCCCGGGACUGCAUUCGAUACUGCCGGGCUAGAGGUAGGUAGGGGAGAUCGGAAUUCCUGGUGUAGCGGUGAAAUGCGCAGAUAUCAGGAGGAACACCGGUGGCGAAGGCGGAUCUCUGGGCCUUACCUGACGCUCAGGCGCGAAAGCUAGGGGAGCGAACAGGAUUAGAUACCCUGGUAGUCCUAGCCGUAAACGUUGGGUGCUAGGUGUGGGCGGAUAUCGACCCCGUCCGUGCCGAAGCUAACGCAUUAAGCACCCCGCCUGGGGAGUACGGCCGCAAGGCUAA